AAGCGGUAAUUAUAAUAAUUAAUACUAAGUCAUAAAUCGUGCAUUUGAUGAGUAUAAGUUGGGCAGCUAGCUGUGCCGCCAGAAGCGAAACCGAAAAACGCUUAAGCCUAGAGCUAAGCUAUCAUGUGCUUAAUGAUUUCUAAAAUUUAUAUGAUAGAUUCAUCUAAUUUCAGUAAGAUUUUAAACUUAGACUAGGGCUUAAGCCCUAACUGCCCUAGGCCUGUUUCGGCCACUAUGCGCAAUACAUAAGGUGAGCUAGAUCUCAUGAUGAGUGGCCGCGAGGAGAGUAUAGGUUGAUGGAGGAGACGCCGA
rnacentral:lncRNA from 1 species